rnacentral:rRNA from 1 species
GGUAAAAAGAGCAUAUGGUGGAUGGCUCGAGAUAGUAUGGGCGAAGAAGGACGUGGCGUGACUGCGUUAACCUUGGGGGAGGUGUCUAGCAACCUUUGAUCCCAAGAUUUCCGAAUGGGGAAACCCCGUCCGCCGAAAGGCGGAUGACCAAGCGUUUUAAACGGCGCUUUGGAGCGAACCCGCUGAAGUAAAACAUUUCAGUAAGCGGAGGAAAAGAGAACAAUAGUUUAUUCCCUUAGUAGCGGCGAGCGAAAAGGGAAGAGCCCAGAUCCCGAUUUCCUAUUUAAUUUAUUAAGUGGGUAAUCGCGGAAGUAGUAAGUUUAGUUCUAAUCUUUAAUGAUCGGAAGAAUGAAAAUAUUAAUAGAACGGUCCUGGAAAGGCCGGCCAAAGAGGGUAAUAGCCCCGUAAAUGAAAAUAAUUUUCUACUUUUCGGACUUUACUUGAGUACCUCGAUAAAUGUAUGCGUCGGGGGAAACUGCCGGCACGAGCCGGUAAGGCUAAAUACCAUCUAUCAUCAAUAGUGAACUAGUACCGUGAGGGAAAGUUGAAAAGCAGCCCGGUGAGGGCGAUGAAAUAGUACCUGAAACCAUAUGCUUACAAAGAAUGGGAGCCCCGUGAGCGCAAGCUUUUACGGGGUGACCGUGUGCCUAUUGAAGAAUGAGCCAACGAGUUAUUGUUUUUUGCUUCUUUAAGGGCGUAAAGCCCGGAAAGACAGGGAAACCGAGUGUUAAUAGCGCGUUUUCCCACUCAAAAUUUUGGAAUAAAAAAAUGGUGGAGGGCUUUUUCGCGCCCCCCGAAACGUCCGGAUUAUCAUUAUUACCAGCUUUACUGGUAAAGCUGAUAUGUGGAACCGGAAGCACACUCUGCGUGCGUUAAUUAUACUCCUAUUACAUUAAUUUGUCAAUAGGGUCCANNNNNNNNNNNNNNNNNNNNNNNNNNNNNNNNNNNNNNNNNNNNNNNNNNNNNNNNNUUAUCCAACACCUUUCGUCUAAGGGCACCUAGCCCGGAGGCACAGGGAAACCAAGUGUUAAAAGCGCGAUUUUCUCCGACGUUACGUCGGAGAAAAAAAGAUGUUGGAUAGACCCGAAGCGAGAUGAGCUUACCAUGACCAGGGUGAACCUCGGAGAAAUCCGGGGGGAGGCCCGAACCGUUUAGCCGUUCAAAACUAUCGGAUGAGUUGUGGUAAGGAGUGAAAAGCUAAUCGAAUCUCGUAAUAGCUGGUUCUCUCCGAAAUAGCUUUUCGGCUAGCGCCCGCCAAAAAUUAGCAGGUAGAGCUACUAGAUGGACUUGACAGGGAGAAAUCUCGCGAGUCCAACUAAACUCCGAAUGGCUAAUCUAUUUAGGCGGGUAGUCAGACCAUGGGGGCUAAGCUCCAUCGGUCAAAAGGGAAACAGCCCAGAUCUCAAUCUAAGGUCCCUAAAUUUCUGCUAAGUGCAAAGAAGGUGGUGAAGUUUCUUAAACAGCGAGGAGGUUGGCUUAGAAGCAGCCAUCCUUUAAAGAGUGCGUAACAGCUCACUCGUCAAGAGACUUCGCGCCGAAAAUUAUCGGGGCUAAGCAGAGUACCGAAGGUGAGAUCGUCAGUGCAUAGCACUGACGCGCGGAAAGCGCGGACUUGACGCAGACAGUCGCAGAAAAUAAUUCUGCAUGUUCUGCGUUUAUUCUGCGUAAAUCGGCGCGCCAAUACUAUGCAUUGGCGAGGUAGGAGAGCGUUCCAAAUGCAGUGAAGCUCACGGCGCGAGCCGGGGUGGAGCGUUUGGAAGUGAGAAUGUUGGCACAAGUAACCGCAAGUUCGGUGAAAUACCGUACCACCGAAAACCCAAGGUUUCCUUGGCAAUGGAAAUCAGCCAAGGGUUAGUCGGGCCUAAGCCAAUGGCGAAAGCCGGAGGCGAUGGACAGCUGGUUAAUAUUCCAGCACUGCGUAUUGUUUUGACGGCAGGACGGAGCCUAGUAUGUCGGGCGCGUUAUUGGAUUCGCGUUCAUUGCGUAAGCGCGGGGCGGAGGAAAAUCCCUGCCCAGCCCCGCCACGGCGGGGGCGCGCGAAUGUUUUGAAAAUUUUUGCAGCAAUGCGAAAAAAUUCGGUAAAGCAGGCUUCCCAGAAAAUUGUCUAAAAUUAUCAAUACGCAACCGUACCGGAAUCCGACACAGGUGGGUGGGAGGAGAACUCCCAGGUGAACGAGUGAAAGAUCCCCAAGGAACUCGGCAAAAAAGCGGACGUAACUUAGGGAUAUGUCCUUCCCGCCAACAUUAGAUAAUAUCAAAAUGAAGGCGGGACGCAGCGAAAGUACCCCUGGCGACUGUUUAACAAAAACACAGCUCCCUGCAAACUCGUAAGAGGAAGUAUAGGGGGUGAUGCCUGACCAAUGCGAGAAGGUUAACGCUGGCGUUCGCGUGGAGCAAUCUGCGCGGGUGACUGGCCGAAGCCCUCGUCAAUGUCGGCCGUAACUAUAACGGUCCUAAGGUUCUGGAAUUAUUUUGAAAUGAUUCCGGAAGGACUAGGACUGUUAUAGCGAUACAUAUGUUAAACAAAAAUAGCUGCCUCAUUGUGUAGCAAUACGCAAUUGGUCCAAAAUUACAUGGCUAUAUGCUGGAAACUCCGCAAGUAUCCUCAAGUACUUUGUGUCCUAAACCAGGUUUGGGUCAUAAAGUGAAAAUCUGUGAGGUGGCGCGGACAAUCAGCAGGAAACUGUAAUAUCUAAAGGAGGAAAAGAACAUGAAAAAUGACUGGGACGUACUUGUCCAAAGACGUUGGUGGAUGUCUCGUGCAGACAUCGACGUUCUUUACUACAAGUGGAAGACGGGACAAAUUCAAGUUGGAGAUGAAGAAAUGCUGAGAGAGUUUCAGGCUGUUCGUUCUGAAGAAAUAAAGAUCGAAGCAGCCGAGAUGCCAGAAUCUCCAGCUGUCUUCAUGUUCGGCGGAAUGUUGGAUGCAAUGUUCGAGAAAACUCCAAAUGGGCAAAAGUAGUUCAAGCCCUUCCUGUAAGGAAGGCGCAAAGAAACUCUUUGCCUCUUCCUUUAGGUAUUACAGGAUCCUCAGAUACCAUACGCCGUGCAUCUCUAAGUAGAUGAAGAUAUGGUACUUCGCCCCAAGGAAGCGAACAGCGAAAUUCCUUGUCUGGUGAGUUCAGACGCGCACGAAAGGUAUAACGACUGGGGGACUGUCUCGGGGAUUUACUCGGUGAAAAUGCGAUACCGGUG